rnacentral:lncRNA from 1 species
CGAGCCACAAAGAGACUGUUACUUCAAAGCAAGUACUCUUCAAAGAUACAUUGCAAGUAUUCAAUUUAAAGAUUGUUCCUCCUACAUGUCUAGCUCUUUUUCAACUCUAUGCAGAAAAUAGCAGGGGAGGCUAUGAUUCUGGGCCACGCAUGACUCGAAGGGUUUUGAGAAAACUACUAACAGAUCUACAGCAGAUCCCAACUUUCGUGGGAGAGAGUCGUGCUCUGUGCCCUGUGGAAAGUGCCACCCGCAGCUGUUUCCAAGGGGUGUUGAGCCCAGCAAUCAAAGAAGAAAAAUUCCUGUCUUGGGUCCAAUCUGAGCCUCCCAUCCUCCUGUGGCUCCCGACCUGCCACCGGUUAUCAGCUGCUGAAAGGGUCACUCACCCUGCUCGGUGCACUCUCUGCAGGACUUUCCCAAUCACGGGACUCAG